rnacentral:rRNA from 1 species
CGGUGUUUAACUGGCGUGAUGUGGGACGUCCUACCGGUGGGCUUAGCCUCGCGAGGGGCGGCCCAACUAAUAUCCCGUCGCGGUGCUCUUUACUGAGUGUCGAGUCGGGCCGGUACGUUUACUUUGAACAAAUUAGAGUGCUUAAAGCAGGCUAUCCUCGCCUGAAUACUGCGUGCAUGGAAUAAUGGAAUAGGACCUCGGUUCUAUUUUGUUGGUUUUCGGAACCCCGAGGUAAUGAUUAAUAGGGACAGAUGGGGGCAUUCGUAUUGCGACGUUAGAGGUGAAAUUCUUGGAUCGUCGCAAGACGGACAGAAGCGAAAGCAUUUGCCAAAAAUGUUUUCAUUAAUCAAGAACGAAAGUUAGAGGUUCGAAGGCGAUCAGAUACCGCCCUAGUUCUAACCAUAAACGAUGCCAGCUAGCGAUCCGCCGAAGUUCCUCCGAUGACUCGGCGGGCAGCUUCCGGGAAACCAAAGCUUUUGGGUUCCGGGGGAAGUAUGGUUGCAAAGCUGAAACUUAAAGGAAUUGACGGAAGGGCACCACCAGGAGUGGAGCCUGCGGCUUAAUUUGACUCAACACGGGAAACCUCACCAGGCCCAGACACCGGAAGGAUUGACAGAUUGAUAGCUCUUUCUUGAUUCGGUGGGUGGUGGUGCAUGGCCGUUCUUAGUUGGCGGAGCGAUUUGUCUGGUUAAUUCCGAUAACGAACGAGACUCUAGCCUGCUAAAUAGGCGUACCUUAUGGUAUCGCGAAGGCCCCCGGCUUCGGCCGGUGGGUUUUUACUACCAACGUACAAACAAAUCUUCUUAGAGGGACAGGCGG